GAUGAACGCUGGCGGCGUGCUUAACACAUGCCAGUCGAACGAAGCAUUUGCGACAGAUUUUUUCGGAAUGAAGUUGCUUAUGACUGAGUGGCGGACGGGUGGGUAACGCGUGGGUAACCUGCCUUGUACUGGGGGAUAGCAGCUGGAAACGGCUGGUAAUACCGCAUAAGCGCACAAUGUUGCAUGACAUGGUGUGAAAAACUCCGGUGGUAUAAGAUGGACCCGCGUCUGAUUAGCUAGUUGGUGAGAUAACAGCCCACCAAGGCGACGAUCAGUAGCCGACCUGAGAGGGUGACCGGCCACAUUGGGACUGAGACACGGCCCAGACUCCUACGGGAGGCAGCAGUGGGGAAUAUUGCACAAUGGAGGAAACUCUGAUGCAGCGACGCCGCGUGAGUGAAGAAGUAAUUCGUUAUGUAAAGCUCUAUCAGCAGGGAAGAUAGUGACGGUACCUGACGAAGAAGCUCCGGCUAAAUACGUG
rnacentral:rRNA from 1 species